AGUGAAUAUAGUUUAUUAAAAAUCUUAGUCUGUGAAUCUAAAGAUGAAGGCUAAUAACCUUCUAUUCACCG
rnacentral:tRNA from 1 species